rnacentral:lncRNA from 1 species
GGGGAGAAGAGAAAGCGGGUAGGACCGCCCCAUUGGACUCCAUGGCAUAUGGUCACCUGCACUUAGUCUCCUCAGAAAGCACAGAUAUUUCAAAAUGUUGAGGGUUAAGAAAGCAGAACUGCUUCUGUUCAUGAAUGUUUAUUAAAAACAGUUGGUUAUGGAAAACACCACCGGCUUGGAUGAUUCAAACUUGUCUGGAUUUUUCAGUGGGUCUCUGGCAAAAGAAGACAAUAUGGAAAAAUCCCUUCAAACAGACCAUGAUAUUAAAGCUCUUCUUCUCAUACAAAACUUAUAUCCAUUAUUUGAUUUACCGGUCUCUGAAAUAGAGUGUUUAACGAAGACAGUUUAAAGAGGCGGAGAUUCUGAUCCCAUAAAUCCUCACCAAGAAAAUGACCAUGUAUCGGAAUCUGGAAGGACCCUCUAUAGAUGCUAACCAAGAAGUUCCGUGGGCACCGUUGUCAGUGGGGAGCCCCGCCAUGCUCAGGGCCCUGUGACAGCUGUGGUGUCACCCCAUGCUCUGCAGAACGUUGAGACAGCUUUUCCAGCACUGGACCAGCUUAUUGUUUGUCUUCUUUGUGUAUAACUGUAACAUGUGAAGAAGACUUAGCUAAACAGCCAAGUGCGCCUCCAAUUGCCAGUAGGUUCUAAGAACUUCAGUCCAGCUCACAUGUUCAGAGCGUGUGUUCUGUGUGUAGCAUUUAAUAGAAUGUGUUAGAGAAGCAACAGUGUAGAGGGAUCUAGAAGA